AACCAGUGAUGUAAAAGAUUCUGCCAAAUGAUAGAAUGUGAUUUUACUCAUAAACCGUUCCAUUAUUUUAAACUGAGGUU
rnacentral:snoRNA from 1 species